AUGAUGAUGGGAGUCUGAAACAUCAAAUUGUAAAAAAAAAAUGGAAAUUCAUGGUUUAGAAAAUAGUUCCCUGAUUUUGAAUUGGUUGACUUUUGCAACACCAUAACCUAUGUUAAUGAAAAUAUUUUUUUGUUGAUAGUCAUUUCAAAAAUGUUUGAUAAAUAUAUGAUGAAUGGAAACACAUGGUUUAUAUACCAGACGGGCUCAUGUGCGAAACACGUUAAGAACGUAUACUAUUUGUAAACAGGUUCAUGUUGUUGAAAACUACUGUAAACGUCUGAUUUGCAUUUUAGUGAAAGAAGUGCCUUUAUAAAAUUAUAUGUGGGGUGGCUCCAAUUAUGCUAGAAACUGGGUGGUAUGAAAAUUUGCGUACUGAAAGAGAUGUUGUUUUUAUUGUCUUUUUACUGUUGAAGAUGAAUAUCAUUUUAUUUUCAAUUGUCCUUUUGAAAAUGAUUUAGUAAAAUCGAAUCUUUCAAAAUCAAAUAACAUUUCAAUAGUUUUACAGAACUUCAGGAAAAGGUAUUUUCACGUUCGAAUCAAGAUAUUGGCAGAACAUGUACCAACCAACACCUGUUAUCAAAUUUAAUUUUCAAUGUAUUAUACAUGUUCUUCUAGUUUUUCAUCUAUCAAAGAUCUGUACAGAUUGACUUAUGUAU
rnacentral:lncRNA from 1 species